rnacentral:sRNA from 1 species
AAUAUUAUGCUAAAUUUAAUUAAAAAUGAUCAAGUUAGAUAGAUGGUGGCUAAUCUCUUAUAAAGGGGUGAUGCCUAUGGUUAUAGUUGUUACUCCUAGAAAGGAAUAACAUGUCUGACUAUGAGAUUUUAAUGAUAGUCUUUACUGUCAUUGCUUUAGUCAUGAUUAAAGAAAACCAAAA